rnacentral:ncRNA from 1 species
UAGUUAGCUGUGAUAAAGAGAAGUAGAGAUAAUAGAUUAUAAAGAGAGGAAAAUCUAUUAGUUGAAAGGUUUUCUAUAUGAAAUAUCUUGAAAGUAGCUUUGGAGUUUCUUUGCUGAAUGGAGUAGGCAGAGACGGUUUCUGACCGUUAAAUUUUUGAGAGUCUGCAUGAUAUCGCAGAAAAAAAGGUGGUAACGCGGGUCUUCGUCCUUUAU